GCCGCUAUGGUGAAAUUUGGGAGACACGCUGCUCUUAGGAAGCAGUGCUAGCGCAUCUCGGUUCGAGUCCGAGUAGCGGCA
rnacentral:tRNA from 1 species